GUAUUAAUUACAUGGCUUUGAAUCGGUCUGGCUUCUCAUGCGAUUUUUAAAAAAUGACCUCAAUGACGGCCUACUAAGGAACAGUGGGUUACCUGCAUUGUGCAGGGGCAGAACGACAGAUUUUAGCCUUGUCAGCUCGUGGAUUCGAUCCAGCAACUUUUCAGCUACUAGCCCAACGCUCUAACCACUAGUGAUGCUAGGAUACAUAUGAUAUGCAGUGUGAGCUAUAGUGAAUAAGCCACUGCAGUUAUGAAAUUGAUAAAAUAAUGGCCAUGUAUCAACUGUGUGACGACAGAAUCUUUUUGGUAUUUAUUAGGAUCCCCAUUAGCCGCUGCAAAAGUAUCAAAAUUGUACACUUCUCUCAUUGACUUCUCAAACCCCGGCUUGGUCUGCUUCGCAAGCCUUCUCUGAAGUCUCGCGUUUUUACGUCUCUUGGUUUAGAAACUGGUAGUGGGGGAACAGGAAGUUCCGCGCAGGCGCGCAUCAUUCUUCAGAAUAAAGGAUACGUCAGAAUUGUGCAGCCGAGACGAUAACUUCUGUGUCCGUUUCUAAUAUAUUACUACUGGUAUGUAAUAGCACGUUCUAAUAUCUAAAGAACAUGUAAUAACAUGCUAGGUAACAAAUACGUCAAGGUAUUAUCUCGUUUGGUGAAGGUUUUAUGUGCUAUUUUGGUGUCAAACAGCGUGAGUGAACGUGAUAACUUGUUUACAAGUCACAGAGACUUUGGGUUAAAGUUAGUCUCUGAGUGUAUGUAACGUUAUCUCAUUUUGUCAACUUAAUUUCAUAAAGGAUACAUUUAUUUGAGAUUUCUGGGUUCGUUUUACGUGUCGUUUUUGGUUUUGUGUAAAAUUUCACGAGGUGGUAAAAUGGCGGUUCCCCCUCGGUCUGCAUUAACGCACAUCAGUGCAGGCAGUGAGGGUGCAGCAAGAGAGACAAUUUUACGGUUGCGCUACUGUUUUGGAGCUAAAUGUAAUGAUGAUCAGUUUUCUACAUGUGAACUAGUAUUCAGAGACAUUCAGUUGUAUCUGUCUAUCUAUACAUGUUACUAUGGUGUGAACGGAAAUACUUUUGGUUUUUGACUGGAAUAAUACAGUGAAGACAAGGUUAUUCAGGAAAAUGGUACAUAGUGCUGCCUACAACCAUAUCUUGUACAAAAUGUUUUUGGGUCAUUUAUGCGUUUAUGUGUAUAGGGGAUAUCUACUAUAGAUUAAGUAAUUUAAGUUGUGUAGUCUAAUUUAAAGUGUAUACUUUGUCUAAUGUGAAUUAAUUAAUGUUUUGUUGUCAAUGCUUAGCUACCAGAUCUAUUGAAAUGAGAUCAGUGCUUGACUUGGACAGGAGCUCACCGAAGCUGAGUACCGUCACCUCAAAUUUCUACUGUUUGAACUCCUGUUCCUCUUAGAAUAUUAGCUCAACAGUAUUGUGGCACUCCUGCGGCUAAAUAUAAACAAUAUUUUUAGAUAAUAAAUUAAUAAAUUAAGUGCCAGAACUGUCAAGACAAUAACUUUUGUGUCUUUCUCUUUAUUACUACUGGCUGACUCAGAUUAAGUCUGAGGCCGGUAACAUCAACAGUGAGGACAAACCCAAGCUGCCUCUCUCCUUCCACACAUUUUGUGGUUGCACAACUGUGUUGUGUUUUUGAAGUAAUACAGUGAAUACAAGGUUAUUCAGGAAAAUGAAACUAACCAACCAAAAAUAGCACAUCGUGCUGCCUAAAACAAACUGUAACCUUGUACUAAAUAGUUUUUGAGUGAUUUAUGCAUUUAUCUACUACAGGUUAAGUUUUAGCUCAAAUGUAUUAUGAAGCUCCUGCACCUAAAUAUAAACAGUACCAGCACACAAUGAGUAUCGGCAACUAUUUCAGCACUGAAUUACACAACUAAGUCCAGCACUGAAUUAGGUAAUUGAACAAGAAAAAAUAUUAUAUAUUUAAUAGAGAGUAAAGUAAGUGCCAGAACUGUCAAGACAAUAACUUUUGUGUCCGUUUCUCUUCUACUACUUGCCGACUCUGGUAUGAGGCCAGUAACAUCAACAGUGAGGACAAACGCAGGCCUCCUCUCUCCUUCCACACUGAGUCCAAACCCACAGUCACUGGGUCCUGAUUGUGACAGUAGAGCCCAGUUUUUACAGCAGGAUCCAGAGAUGGCAUCAGUGAAGCUGGAAGACUGCAGUCAAACAAUGGAGCUGAAUGUCAACAUUAAAGAUGAAGAAGAGGAGAAGAUUGGGGAAUCAGUUAAUCAUGGAGACCAUGUUGAGACAUUCUCUACAUCCAGAGAGCAUCAGCAGGAAGAUCACAGAGCAAAGAUGUCUCACCACUGCACACAUUGUGAGGAGAUUUUCCCAUUUCUACCAAAGCUAAAAAUACACCUAAAAAUACACACAGGAGAAAAACUUUACUCCUGCUCUGAAUGUGGAAAAUGCGUCAAAACAUCAGCAUCACUAAAACUUCAUCAGAGAACACACACAGGAGAGAAGCCUUACUACUGCUCUGAAUGUGGUGCGAGUUUCUCUCAACUGGGCCACUUAAAAAGACAUGAACAUAUACACACAGGAGAGAAGCCUUACUCCUGCUCUGACUGGAAAUAGGUUCUCUCUAAUGGGUACCUUAAAACAACAUGAACGUAUACACACAGGAGAGAAGCCUUACUCAUGUUCUGAAUGUGGAAAAUGCUUCAAAACAUCAUCAUCACUAAAAAGUCAUCAGAGAACACACACAGGAGAGAAGCCUUACUCAUGUUCUGAAUGUGGAAAAUGCUUCAAAACAUCAAUAUCACUAAAAGUUCAUCAGAGAACACACACAGGAGAGAAGCCUUACUCCUGCUCUGGCUGUGGAAAGAGUUUCUUUCACCUGGGUACCUUAAAACAACAUGAACGUAUACACAAAUUAGAGAAGCCUUACUCCUUUUCUGACUGUGGGGCAAGUUUCUCUCGUCCGGACACCUUAAAAUGACCUGAACAUGUACACACAGGAGAGAAGCGUUACUCCUACUCCUGACUGUGGAAAGUGUUUCUCUUGAAUGUGCCAUUUCAAAAGACACCAAGGGAAACACGAGUGGAGCCUUACCACUGAUCUGACUAUAGAACAUGUUAAAACACCAGCUGAGCUUAAAGGUCAUUAGAGAAAAGACAAAGGAGAUAAGCCUUACUUCUGCUCUCAAUGUUGCAAGAGUUUUUCCCAAUUGGACAAUAUAAAAACACCAACGGCUACACACUUUGAGAAGCCUUAUCACUGCACUGACUGUGGGAAGAGAUUCUACAGAUUGGGCCAAUUAAAAAGACACCAAUGUACACAUAAAGGAGAGAAACCUCAUCAGUUUUCUCAGACCAGCUAAGAAUAGACACUCCACUUAAUUAUCAUGUCAUUAAAUAAUUGGCAACGUUGAAUUGGAUCAAAUGAAGAAAGUGUAGAACACUAUUGUAAUCCUAUAGUUUCUCACUGUGAGAGAACAAUGCAGAGGAAAGGGAGUGUUAUAGAAUGUUAGCCUCUCUUUACUGAUCAGUGUGCACCUUGUCAGUUUUGGUGUGUUUUGUUAGCUUCUACUGUAAAGAUAUUGAGAUUACCUUGAAUUUGCUUUUAGGGUUGAAUAUCCUCUGUGAGGCAUCUCACAAUGGAGUCUGAUGGGUGACUGGGUGGUACUGCUUCCCUCUACAGUUUUCUGUGGGAAUGAGCUAGUAGACACAACAUACACUGAUUUUGCAAAACAUUAAGGACACCUGCUCUUUUCAUGACAUAGACUGACCAGGUGAACCCAGGUGAAAAUGAUAAUCCUUAAUGAUAUACAGUGGGGCAAAAAAGUGUUUAGUCAGCCACCAAUUGUGCAAGUUCUCCCACUUAAAAAGAUGAGGCCUGCAAUGUUCAUCAUAGUUACACUUCAACUAUGACAGACAAAAUUAGAAGAAAAACAAUCCAGAAAAUCACAUUGUAGGAUAUUUUAUGAAUUUAUUUGCAAAUUAUGGUGGAAAAUAAGUAUUUGGUCACCUACAAACAAGCAAGAUUUCUGGCUCUCACAGACCUGUAACUUCUUCUUUAAGAGGCUCCUCUGUCUUCCACUCGUUACCUGUAUUAAUGGCACCUGUUUGAACUUGUUAUCAGUAUAAAAGACACCUGUCCACAACCUCAAACAUUCACACUCCAAACUCCACUAUGGCCAAGACCAAAGAGCUGUCAAAGGACACCAGAAACAAAAUUGUAGACCUGCACCAGAAUGGGGAGACUGAAUCUGCAAUAGGUAAGCAGCUUGGUUUGAAGAAAUCAACUGUGGGAGCAAUUAUUAGGAAAUGGAAGACAUACAAGACCACUGAUAAUCUCCCUCGAUCUGGGGCUCCAUGCAAGAUCUCACCCCGUGGGGUAAAAAUGAUCACAAGAACGGUGAGCAAAAAUCCCAGAACCACACGAGGGGACCUAGUGAAUGACCUGCAGAGAGCUGGGACCAAAGUAACAAAGCCUACCAUCAGCAAGGGCAUUGAAGAUGAAACGUGGCUGGGUUUUUCAGCAUGACAAUGAUCCCAAACACACCGCCCGGGCAACGAAGGAGUGGCUUCGUAAGAAGCAUUUCAAGGUCCCGGAGUGGCCUAGCCAGUCUCCAGAUCUCAACCCCAUAGAAAAUCUUUGGAGGGAGUUGAAAGUCUGUGUUGCCCAGCAACAGCCCCAAAACAUCACUGCUCUAGAGGAGAUCUGCAUGGAGGAAUGGGCCAAAAUACCAGCAACAGUGUGUGAAAACCUUGUGAAAACGUUUGACCUCUGUCAUUGCCAACAAAGGGUACAUAACAAACUAUUGAGAUAAACUUUUGUUAUUGACCAAAUACUUAUUUUCCACCUUAAUUACCAAAUAAAUUCAUUAAAAAUCCUACAAAGUGAUUUUCUGGAUUUUUUUUUCUUAUUUUGUCUGUCAUAGUUUAAGUGUACCUAUGAUGAAAAUUACAGGCCUCUCAUCUUUUUAAGUGGGAGAACUUGCACAAUUGGUGGCUGACUAAAUACGUUUUUUGCCCCACUGUAGUUGUUGUAUUUAUUUUGGAUCCCCAUUAGCUUUCAGUAGAAAACAAGAUGUUGCAGUGGGCUAAGGAAUGAAAACACUGGAGAAUUUUAAAAACAUUGCCUGGUCUGAUGAAUCCCUGUUCCUGCUGUUUCACGCUGAUGGGAGGAAACCACGAGUACAACAUUGCAGGCUGGUGGUGGUGGUAUGAUGGUGUGUUUUCAUGCCACAUAUUGGGCCCCUUGAUAAAAGUGGAGCAACGUUUGUGUAAAAAAUCAUUGCCAAUCAGGUGCAUCCCUUCAUGGUGGCCAGGAAUGAUUCCAAGAACAUGACAGGGAAUUCAGCUUACUGCAGUGGCCUGCUGAGUCACCAGAUCUCAAUCCAAUUGUGCAUCUGUGGGAGGACAUGGAAGGAGCUAUUCAGAGUAGAUCCACUCCCAGCCAACUUGACACAAUUGUGGGAAGCAUUGGAGUCAACAUGGGCCAGCAUCCCUGUGGAACGUUCUCAACACCUUGGAGAGUCCAUACCCCGACUAUUGAGGCUGUUCUGAGGACAAAAGGAGGUAUAACUCAAUAUUAGGAAGCCAUUCCUAAUGUUUUGUGCACUCAGUGUAUUUCAGAUAAAGAUGUUGUGGUGAUCAGUUUUCAGCAUUAGUUUGGGUGGAUUAUUUUAUAUUACUGAACAAUUGUUUAAUGAUAAACCGGCUAUGAAUCGAA